rnacentral:misc_RNA from 1 species
GAUAGAACGUAGCGAACUGCGAUAAGUAAUGUGAAUUGCAGAAUUCAGUGAAUCAUCGAGUCUUUGAACGCACAUUGCGCCCCCUGGCAUUCCGGGGGGCAUGCCUGUCCGAGCGUCAUUGCUGCCCUUCAAGCCCGGCUUGUGUGUUGGGUCGUCGUCCCCCCCGGGGGACGGGCCCGAAAGGCAGCGGCGGCACCGCGUCCGGUCCUCGAGCGUAUGGGGCUUUGUCACCCGCUCGAUUAGGGCCGGCCGGGCGCCAGCCGGCGUCUCCAACCUUCUAUUUUACCAGGUUGACCUCGGAUCAGGUAGGGAUACCCGCUGAACUUAAGCAUAUCAAUAAGCGGAGGA